AGCAUCUUAUUAAAUAGAGAUGGGCGUGUUAAUCUUGCUAUCCGGAAGUGAAUGAAAUGACCGCUGCUGCGAGUUUUCAAGCACACUGGAUGAAGACCUGCGAAAACUUGGAAGCUUCACUGAUCUUUGACAUCAUAUAUAAGAUACUGUAUUCUUGUGGGAGACACAGCUUCAGAGUUUUGGGAACCACAAUUUGCACAGAAAGUAAACUAUGGAGGAGAACUUCUUGGGUCAAAACCAAACAGUAACACAGACUGGAGAGAAAAAUCUGUGAUCAGCUGAGGAAAGAGAUCUCCUGUGAGCAAACAUCUAGCUCUCCAUGUCAAGAGAAUCAUCUUCUGGACAAGAGUGAAUCCCUCAAAGAAAGAGUGUGGAGGACAGUUAGAGACCCCCCUUCUACAUCAGAAAAGCAGCACCCCCAGAAACAACACCAUAAAGGGCAGUGUGAUAAUGGAGAAGUGCCACCACAUCAUGGCAUCGGGCCCAAUAGUACAAGAGAUGGUGAAGAAAGCUUUAGGCAGCUGCUCUGAAGGAGGGGAGAUGGCAGAGAAGUUUCAGAUCACUCAGUCUGACAAGAAUAAAAUAUGAAGGCAGAAAAACAAACGUGGAGUACUUCACAAUCACAAGCUGUCAACUGAAUGUAUGGAUUUAACAUUUGGUCAGAGUUUGUUACUGUUAUUUUGAAAAUGUUUAUUUCACUGAUUCAUUAUUGCA